GGCCUCGUGGCCUAAUGGUAAGGCGCUACUUUCCGGUUUCUAAACUGGAGUCUGGUAGAGAUUGCAGGUUCGAGUCCUGCCGUGGUCG